UGGGGAAUUUUGGACAAUGGGGGAAACCCUGAUCCAGCCAUCCCGCGUGUGCGAUGAAGGCCUUCGGGUUGUAAAGCACUUUUGGCAGGAAAGAAACGUCGCGGGUUAAUACCCCGCGAAACUGACGGUACCUGCAGAAUAAGCACCGGCUAACUACGUGCCAGCAGCCGCGGUAAUACGUAGGGUGCAAGCGUUAAUCGGAAUUACUGGGCGUAAAGCGUGCGCAGGCGGUUCGGAAAGAAAGAUGUGAAAUCCCAGAGCUUAACUUUGGAACUGCAUUUUUAACUACCGGGCUAGAGUGUGUCAGAGGGAGGUGGAAUUCCGCGUGUAGCAGUGAAAUGCGUAGAUAUGCGGAGGAACACCGAUGGCGAAGGCAGCCUCCUGGGAUAACACUGACGCUCAUGCACGAAAGCGUGGGGAGCAAACAGGAUUAGAUACCCUGGUAGUCCACGCCCUAAACGAUGUCAACUAGCUGUUGGGGCCUUCGGCCUUGGUAGCGCAGCUAACGCGUGAAGUUGACCGCCUGGGGAGUACGGUCGCAAGAUUAAAACUCAAAGGAAUUGACGGGGUCAUAGCUG
rnacentral:rRNA from 1 species